UUGGGGGUCUGUGGGUGCUGUGGGUCUGGGGGCUUUGGGGUCUCGGGUCUGUGGGUCGGGGGGGGUGGGUUCGGGGGUCCCUGGGUGCUGUGGGUCUGGGGGCUGUGGGGUCUCUGGACCUGUGGGUCUGGGGGCUCCCCCCAAAUCUCGCUCUGCAGGCAGCAGGAGAUGCAGGGCAGCGGCGCAGGGCGACACGGUGCAGGUAGGGGCGCUUGGGGGGCUGCCCCAUAACUGGGAGCUCUGCCCCAUAAGCUGAAGCUCUGCCCCAUAACUGGGAGCUCUGCCCCAUAACUCGCAGCUCAGCUCUGCCCCAUAACUGAGAGCUCUGCCCCAUAACUCGGAGCUCUGCCCCACAGCCUGGAGCUCUGCCCCAUAAGUUGCAGCUCUGCCCCAUAGCCUGGAGCUCUGCCCCAUAAGUUGAAGCUCUGCACCAUAGCUUGGAGCUCUGCCCCAUAACUGGGAGCUCUGCCCCAUAAGUUGAAGCUCUGCCCCAUAACUGGGACCUCUGCCCCACAGCCUGGAGCUCUGCCCCCUAAGUUGGAGCUCUGCCCUAGAGCCUGGAGCACUGCCCCAUAAGUUGAAGCUCUGCCCCAUAAGUUGGAGCUCUGCCCCAUAAGUUGGAGCUCUGCCCCACAGCCUGGAGCUCUGCCCCAUAAGUUGAAGCUCUGCCCCAUAACUGGGAGCACUGCCCCAUAAGUUGAAGCUCUACCCCGUAGCCUGGAGCUCUGCCCCAUAACUCGGAGCUCUGCCCCACAGCCUGGAGCUCUGCCCCAUUACCUGGAGCUCUGCCCCACAGCCUGGAGCUCUGCCCCAUAACUUGGAGCUCUGCCCCAUAACUCGGAGCUCUGCCCCACAGCCGGGGCCCCGACCCACUCCGUCACACGUUUCCCCACAGAGCGUCGCGAUGGGGACGGCGCACGCAGGGACACAGUCGUGAACGGCUGCUAUGGGGCCGCUGUGGGGUGGACGUGUGGGGCAGCUAUGGGGUGGCUAUGGGGCCGCUGUGGGGCCGCUAUGGGGCCGCAGUGGGGCAGCAGCUGCGUGGCAAUAAAGAGUUUGGCAGCGCCGACCCCGAGCCCCAUUGUCCCCAUUGUCCCCAUUGUCCCCAUUUUCCCCAUUAGUCCCCAUUAUUUCCCAUUAGUCCCCAUUAUUUCCCAUAAUUCCCAUUAUUCCCAUUAUUCCCCAUUAUUCUCUUUAUUCCCCAUUAUUCUCAUUAUUCCCCAUUAUAUCCCAUAAUUCGCAUUAUUCUCCAUUAUUCCCAUUAGUCCCCAUUGUUUCCCGUUAUGUCCCAUUGUUCCCCGUUAUUUCCCAUUAUUCCCUAUUAUUUCCCAUAAUUCCCCUAAUUCCCAUUAUUCCCCAUUAUUCUCUUUAUUCCCCAUAAUUCCCAUUAUUCCACAUUAUUCCCAUUGUUUCCCAUUAUUCCCAUUAUUCCCCGUUAGUCCCCAUUAUUCCCAUUAUUUCCCAUAAUUCCCCAUUAUUCCCCAUAAUUCCCCAUUUCCCUAUAAUUCCCAUUAUCCCCAUUUUCCCCAUUAGUCCCCAUUAUUUCCCAUUAUUCCCCAUUAUUUCCCCAAAUUCCCAUAAUUCCCAUUAUUCCCCAUUAUUCCCAUUAGUCCCCAUUGUUUCCCAUUAUUCCCAUUAUUCCCAUUAUUCCCAUUAUUUCCCAUUGUUUCCCAUUAUUCCCAUUACUCCCCGUAAUUCCCAUAUUCCCCAUUAUUUCCCAUUAUCCUCAUUAUUCCCAUAUCCCCAUUAUCCCCAUUAUUCCCCAUUAUUCCCCAUUAUUCCCAUUAUUCCCCGUAAUUCCCAUAAUUCCCAUUGUUCCCCAUUGUUCCCCAUUAUUCCUCAUUUCCC
rnacentral:lncRNA from 1 species